GUAGGGGGGGCGAGCGUUGUCCGGAAUUAUUGGGCGUAAAGAGCUCGUAGGGCGGUUGGGGCAAGUCACGUGUGAAAUCUCCACGCUCAACGUGGAGGCGCCACGUGAGACUGCCCCUGACUCGAGUCCGGUAGGGGAGCGUGGAAUUCCCGGUGUAGCGGUGAAAUGCGCAGAGAUCGGGAGGAACACCCGUAGCGAAGGCGGCGCUCUGGGCCGGUACUGACGCUGAGGAGCGAAAGCGUGGGGAGCAAACAGGAUUAGAUACCCUGGUAGUCCACGCCGUAAACGUUGGGCACUAGGUGUGGGGCUCUAUCGACGGGCUCCGUGCCGUAGCUAACGCAUUAAGUGCCCCGCCUGGGGAGUACGGCCGCAAGGCUA
rnacentral:rRNA from 1 species